UACGGGGGGGGCAAGCGUUGUUCGGAAUUACUGGGCGUAAAGGGCUCGUAGGCGGCCAACUAAGUCAGACGUGAAAUCCCUCGGCUUAACCGGGGAACUGCGUCUGAUACUGGAUGGCUUGAGUUCGGGAGAGGGAUGCGGGAAUUCCAGGUGUAGCGGUGAAAUGCGUAGAUAUCUGGAGGAACACCGGUGGCGAAGGCGGCAUCCUGGACCGAUACUGACGCUGAUGAGCGAAAGCCAGGGGAGCAAACGGGG
rnacentral:rRNA from 1 species